rnacentral:rRNA from 1 species
CGUGCACUGAAUCCAUAGGUGUACGAAGCGAACCUGGGGAACUGAAACAUCUAAGUACCCAGAGGAAAAGAAAUCAAUCGAGAUUCCGUCAGUAGCGGCGAGCGAAAGCGGAACAGCCCAGUUGCUAAAUCAUUAUUUGUUCUAGCAGAAUGUUCUGGAAAGUUCAGCCAUAGCGGGUGAUAGUCCCGUACGCGAAAGAGUAAAUAAUGUGGGUAACGAUGAGUAGGUCGGGACACGUGGAAUCUUGACUGAACAUGGGGGGACCAUCCUCCAAGGCUAAAUACUCCUUACUGACCGAUAGCGAACCAGUACCGUGAGGGAAAGGUGAAAAGAACCCCGACGAGGGGAGUGAAAUAGAACCUGAAACCGUAUGCGUACAAGCAGUAGGAG